GGACGAACGCUGGCGGCGUGCUUAACACAUGCAAGUCGAGCGGUAAGGCCCUUCGGGGUACACGAGCGGCGAACGGGUGAGUAACACGUGGGUGAUCUGCCCUGCACUUCGGGAUAAGCCUGGGAAACUGGGUCUAAUACCGGAUAUGACCUUGGGAUGCAUGUCCUGGGGUGGAAAGGUUUACUGGUGCAGGAUGGGCCCGCGGCCUAUCAGCUUGUUGGUGGGGUAAUGGCCUACCAAGGCGACGACGGGUAGCCGACCUGAGAGGGUGACCGGCCACACUGGGACUGAGACACGGCCCAGACUCCUACGGGAGGCAGCAGUGGGGAAUAUUGCACAAUGGGCGAAAGCCUGAUGCAGCGACGCCGCGUGAGGGAUGAAGGCCUUCGGGUUGUAAACCUCUUUCAGCAGGGACGAAGCGCAAGUGACGGUACCUGCAGAAGAAGCACCGGCUAACUACGUGCCAGCAGCCGCGGUAAUACGUAGGGUGCGAGCGUUGUCCGGAAUUACUGGGCGUAAAGAGUUCGUAGGCGGUUUGUCGCGUCGUCUGUGAAAACCCAUCGCUCAACGAUGGGCCGGCAGGCGAUACGGGCAGACUUGAGUACUGCAGGGGAGACUGGAAUUCCUGGUGUAGCGGUGAAAUGCGCAGAUAUCAGGAGGAACACCGGUGGCGAAGGCGGGUCUCUGGGCAGUAACUGACGCUGAGGAACGAAAGCGUGGGUAGCAAACAGGAUUAGAUACCCUGGUAGUCCACGCCGU
rnacentral:rRNA from 1 species